GGAUUGUUCACUAGGACCUCAUUACUUAUCCAUUAUAAAUAUAAUAGUUUGCAUCUAUUAACCCCAAAACUGUGGGUUGCUAGGCAGGUGUCCCCUUCCUUCCCUACCAUUCCACAUGCAUUCCUAUGGAAGCUGUGCGCUCUCUCGAAGAGGACAACCUUCACCAAUGCAGGAGGACCAUUCUUCCAUCAAGUGUAUAUGAGUAGCUGUGCUCCCCGGCUAGAACCUCCAAACAAGCUCUCAUCUGAGUUUUUAUAUAAUUUUAAAAUGAAAGGCAUAAGGAUGAUAAAGCAGGAGAGAGCUAUAACGUGCAU
rnacentral:snRNA from 1 species